rnacentral:rRNA from 1 species
GAAGGCAGCAGGCGCGCAAAUUACCCAAUCCCGACACGGGGAGGUAGUGACAGUAAAUAACAAUACGGGGCUCUUUAGGGUCUCGUAAUUGGAAUAAGUACAAUUUAAAUCCCUUAACGAGGAACAAUUGGAGGGCAAGUCUGGUGCCAGCAGCCGCGGUAAUUCCAACUCCAAUAGCGUAUAUUAAAGUUGUUGCAGUUAAAAAGCUCGUAGUUGAAUUUCGGGAUUGGCGCAUCGGUCGUGCCUCACGGGGUAUGAACUGGUGCAGUCAAUUUCUCACCUUCUGGAGAACCGCGAUGUCCUUAAUUGGAUGCCGUGGGGAACCAGGACCUUUACUUUGAAAAAAUUAGAGUGUUUAAAGCAGGCAUUUUUGCUUGAAUACAUUAGCAUGGAAUAAUAAAAUAGGACGGCAUGGUUCUAUUUUGUUGGUUUCUAGGACCACCGUAAUGAUUAAUAGGGAUAGUUGGGGGCAUUAGUAUUCAAUUGUCAGAGGUGAAAUUCUUGGAUUUAUUGAAGACUAACUACUGCGAAAGCAUUUGCCAAGGAUGUUUUCAUUAAUCAAGAACGAAAGUUAGGGGAUCGAAGACGAUCAGAUACCGUCGUAGUCUUAACCAUAAACUAUGCCGACUAGGAAUCAGACGAUGUUAAUUUUUUAAUGACUCGUUUGGCACCUUACGGGAACA